GGGUUGUGAGGUUAAGCGACUAAGCGUACACGGUGGAUGCCCUGGCAGUCAGAGGCGAUGAAGGGCGUGCUAAUCUGCGAUAAGCGCCGGUAAGGUGAUAUGAACCGUUAUAACCGGCGAUACCCGAAUGGGGAAACCCAGUGUGAUUCGUCACACUAUCAUUAACUGAAUCCAUAGGUUAAUGAGGCGAACCGGGGGAACUGAAACAUCUAAGUACCCCGAGGAAAAGAAAUCAACCGAGAUUCCCCCAGUAGCGGCGAGCGAACGGGGAGGAGCCCAGAGCCUGAAUCAGCAUGUGUGUUAGUGGAAGCGUCUGGAAAGGCGCGCGAUACAGGGUGACAGCCCCGUACACAAAAGCGCAUGUGCUGUGAGCUCGAUGAGUAGGGCGGGACACGUGGUAUCCUGUCUGAAUAUGGGGGGACCAUCCUCCAAGGCUAAAUACUCCUGACUGACCGAUAGUGAACCAGUACCGUGAGGGAAAGGCGAAAAGAACCCCGGCGAGGGGAGUGAAAAAGAACCUGAAACCGUGUACGUACAAGCAGUGGGAGCCCCACCACCAAAGCAUUUGCUGUACCGCGUUGACGGAGCGAAGCGACGUCAAACCGAUAAAACAGCAGUGUAAAGUGAGCCGCAGGGCGCUUUGCGCGACAGCGCAAAGGCAGGCGGUUUCGCGUAGCGAAAGCGAAUGCUUUGGGGUGGGGUGACUGCGUACCUUUUGUAUAAUGGGUCAGCGACUUAUAUUCUGUAGCAAGGUUAACCGAAUAGGGGAGCCGGAGGGAAACCGAGUCUUAACCGGGCGUUAAGUUGCAGGGUAUAGACCCGAAACCCGGUGAUCUAGCCAUGGGCAGGUUGAAGGUUGGGUAACACUAACUGGAGGACCGAACCGACUAAUGUUGAAAAAUUAGCGGAUGACCUGUGGCUGGGGGUGAAAGGCCAAUCAAACCGGGAGAUAGCUGGUUCUCCCCGAAAGCUAUUUAGGUAGCGCCUCGUGAAUUCAUCUCCGGGGGUAGAGCACUGUUUCGGCUAGGGGGCCAUCCCGGCUUACCAACCCGAUGCAAACUGCGAAUACCGGAGAAUGUUAUCACGGGAGACACACGGCGGGUGCUAACGUCCGUCGUGAAGAGGGAAACAACCCAGACCGCCAGCUAAGGUCCCAAAGUCAUGGUUAAGUGGGAAACGAUGUGGGAAGGCCCAGACAGCCAGGAUGUUGGCUUAGAAGCAGCCAUCAUUUAAAGAAAGCGUAAUAGCUCACUGGUCGAGUCGGCCUGCGCGGAAGAUGUAACGGGGCUAAACCAUGCACCGAAGCUGCGGCAGCGACACUGUGUGUUGUUGGGUAGGGGAGCGUUCUGUAAGCCUGUGAAGGUGUGUCGUGAGGCAUGCUGGAGGUAUCAGAAGUGCGAAUGCUGACAUAAGUAACGAUAAAGCGGGUGAAAAGCCCGCUCGCCGGAAGACCAAGGGUUCCUGUCCAACGUUAAUCGGGGCAGGGUGAGUCGACCCCUAAGGCGAGGCCGAAAGGCGUAGUCGAUGGGAAACGGGUUAAUAUUCCCGUACUUGGUGUUACUGCGAAGGGGGGACGGAGAAGGCUAUGUUGGCCGGGCGACGGUUGUCCCGGUUUAAGCGUGUAGGUGUGUGUUCCAGGUAAAUCCGGUUCACUUUAACACUGAGGCGUGACGACGAGGCACUACGGUGCUGAAGCAACAAAUGCCCUGCUUCCAGGAAAAGCCUCUAAGCAUCAGGUAACAUCAAAUCGUACCCCAAACCGACACAGGUGGUCAGGUAGAGAAUACCAAGGCGCUUGAGAGAACUCGGGUGAAGGAACUAGGCAAAAUGGUGCCGUAACUUCGGGAGAAGGCACGCUGACACGUAGGUGAAGUGAUUUACUCAUGGAGCUGAAGUCAGUCGAAGAUACCAGCUGGCUGCAACUGUUUAUUAAAAACACAGCACUGUGCAAACACGAAAGUGGACGUAUACGGUGUGACGCCUGCCCGGUGCCGGAAGGUUAAUUGAUGGGGUCAGCGCAAGCGAAGCUCCUGAUCGAAGCCCCGGUAAACGGCGGCCGUAACUAUAACGGUCCUAAGGUAGCGAAAUUCCUUGUCGGGUAAGUUCCGACCUGCACGAAUGGCGUAAUGAUGGCCAGGCUGUCUCCACCCGAGACUCAGUGAAAUUGAACUCGCUGUGAAGAUGCAGUGUACCCGCGGCAAGACGGAAAGACCCCGUGAACCUUUACUAUAGCUUGACACUGAACAUUGAGCCUUGAUGUGUAGGAUAGGUGGGAGGCUUUGAAGUGUGGACGCCAGUCUGCAUGGAGCCGACCUUGAAAUACCACCCUUUAAUGUUUGAUGUUCUAACGUGGACCCGUUACCCGGGUUGCGGACAGUGUCUGGUGGGUAGUUUGACUGGGGCGGUCUCCUCCUAAAGAGUAACGGAGGAGCACGAAGGUUGGCUAAUCCUGGUCGGACAUCAGGAGGUUAGUGCAAUGGCAUAAGCCAGCUUGACUGCGAGCGUGACGGCGCGAGCAGGUGCGAAAGCAGGUCAUAGUGAUCCGGUGGUUCUGAAUGGAAGGGCCAUCGCUCAACGGAUAAAAGGUACUCCGGGGAUAACAGGCUGAUACCGCCCAAGAGUUCAUAUCGACGGCGGUGUUUGGCACCUCGAUGUCGGCUCAUCACAUCCUGGGGCUGAAGUAGGUCCCAAGGGUAUGGCUGUUCGCCAUUUAAAGUGGUACGCGAGCUGGGUUUAGAACGUCGUGAGACAGUUCGGUCCCUAUCUGCCGUGGGCGCUGGAGAACUGAGGGGGGCUGCUCCUAGUACGAGAGGACCGGAGUGGACGCAUCACUGGUGUUCGGGUUGUCAUGCCAAUGGCACUGCCCGGUAGCUAAAUGCGGAAGAGAUAAGUGCUGAAAGCAUCUAAGCACGAAACUUGCCCCGA
rnacentral:rRNA from 1 species